rnacentral:tRNA from 1 species
GGAGUGGUCGAAUGCACCGGUUUCGAAAACCGGAGUACCUGAAAGGGUACCAGAGGUUCAAAUCCUCUCGUCUCCG